ACUCCUACGGGAGGCAGCAGUGGGGAAUAUUGCACAAUGGGCGCAAGCCUGAUGCAGCAACGCCGCGUGAGGGACGACGGCCUUCGGGUUGUAAACCUCUUUUAGUAGGGAAGAAGCGAAAGUGACGGUACCUGCAGAAAAAGCACCGGCUAACUACGUGCCAGCAGCCGCGGUAAUACGUAGGGUGCAAGCGUUAUCCGGAAUUAUUGGGCGUAAAGAGCUCGUAGGCGGUCUGUCGCGUCUGCUGUGAAAACUGGGGGCUCAACCCCCAGCCUGCAGUGGGUACGGGCAGACUAGAGUGCGGUAGGGGAGAUUGGAAUUCCUGGUGUAGCGGUGGAAUGCGCAGAUAUCAGGAGGAACACCGAUGGCGAAGGCAGAUCUCUGGGCCGUAACUGACGCUGAGGAGCGAAAGCAUGGGGAGCGAACAGGAUUAGAUACCCUGGUAGUCCAUGCCGUAAACGUUGGGAACUAGAUGUAGGGACCAUUCCACGGUUUCUGUGUCGCAGCUAACGCAUUAAGUUCCCCGCCUGGGGAGUACGGCCGCAAGGCUAAAACUCAAAGGAAUUGACGGGGGCCCGCACAAGCGGCGGAGCAUGCGGAUUAAUUCGAUGCAACGCGAAGAACCUUACCAAGGCUUGACAUAUACCGGAAAAGGCUGGAAACAGUCUCCCCGCAAGGUCGGUAUACAGGUGGUGCAUGGUUGUCGUCAGCUCGUGUCGUGAGAUGUUGGAUUAAGUCCCGCAACGAGCGCAACCCUCGUUCUAUGUUGCCAGCACGUAAUGGUGGGAACUCAUAGGAGACUGCCGGGGUCAACUCGGA
rnacentral:rRNA from 1 species